rnacentral:rRNA from 1 species
GGAACUAAGCAUACGAACAAGUAGGACGGGGCACGUGGAACCUUGUCUGAAUAUGGGGGGACCAUCCUCCAAGGCUAAAUACUCCUGAAUGACCGAUAGUGAACUAGUACCGUGAGGGAAAGGUGAAAAGAACCCUUAUAAAGGGAGUGAAAUAGAAUCUGAAACCGCUUGCAUACAAGCAGUAGGAGCAUGAUUUAGUCAUGUGACUGCGUACCUUUUGUAUAAUGGGUCAGCGAGUUAUUUUUAGUGGCGAGGAUAACUGAAUAAGGGAUCCGUAGCGAAAGCGAGUUUUAAUAGGGCGACUAGUCGCUAGGAGUAGACCCGAAACCGGCGCGAUCUAUCCAUGGCCAGGUUGAAGAUUAGGUAGUACUAAUUGGAGGACCGAACCCAAUACUGUUGCAAAAGUAUGGGAUGAGCUGUGGAUCGGAGUGAAAGGCUAAUCAAGCACGGAGAUAGCUGGUUCUCCCCGAAAACUAUUUAGGUAGUGCCUCGUGUAUAACUCAUUGGGGUAAAGCACUGUUUCGACAAUGGGGGUUUUACGACCUUACUGACUCGAUGCAAACUCAGAAUACGAUGAAGUUCGAUCACGGGAGACACACUGCGGGUGCUAAGGUCCGCAGUGGAAAGGGAAACAGCCCAGACCGCCAACUAAGGUCCCAAAGUCAUAGCUAAGUGGGAAACGAAGUGGGAAGGCCCAGACAGCCAGGAGGUUGGCUUAGAAGCAGCCACCCUUUAAAGAAAGCGUAAUAGCUCACUGGUCGAGUCGGCCUGCACGUAAGAUUUAACGGGGCUAAGCUAUGCACUGAAGUUGCGGAAUAUAUUUAGUAUAUUGGUAGGGGAGCGUUCUGUAAGCCGAUGAAGGUGAAUUGAGAAGUUUGCUGGAGGUAUCAGAAGUGCGAAUGCUGACAUGAGUAACGUAAAAUAAGUGAGAUUCUUAUUGGCCGAAAACCCAAGGGUUCCUACGCAAUGUUAAUCAACGUAGGGUAAGCCGGCCCCUAAGGCGUAGCUGAAGAGUGAAGUCGAUGGGAAACAGGUUAAUAUUCCUGUGCUGCUUAUAUGAACGAAGGAGGGACGGAGAAGGUUAGGUAGGCCUGGCGAAUGGUUGUCCAGGUGAAAGUAUGUAGGUAGGAAUGCUAGGCAAAUCCGGUGUUCUGUUGAUCUGAGAUACGAGACGAAGUUAAACUUGUUUGACGAAGCUAUUGAUACCAUGCUUCCAGGAAAAGCUUCUAAGUAUAUUGUAUAAGUGACCGUACUGUAAACCGACACUGGUGGGUAGGUAGAGAAUACUAAGGCUAUGAGAUAACUCUGGUGAAGGAACUAGGCAAAAUGACACCGUAACUUUGGAAGAAGGUGUGCCCUUGAUGGUGAUGAGACUUGCUCUUUGAGCUGUUGGGGGUUGCAGAUACCAGGUGGCUGCGACUGUUUAUCAAAAACACAGCACUCUGCGAAAUCGUAAGAUGAAGUAUAGGGUGUGACGCCUGCCCGGUGCUGGAAGGUUAAUUGAAGGGGUUAGCGCAAGCGAAGCUCUGGAUCGAAGCCCCAGUAAACGGCGGCCGUAACUAUAACGGUCCUAAGGUAGCGAAAUUCCUUGUCGGGUAAGUUCCGACCUGCACGAAUGGCGUAACGAUGGCCACACUGUCUCCACCAGAGACUCAGUGAAAUUGAAAUCGCUGUGAAGAUGCAGUGUACCCGCGGUUAGACGGAAAGACCCCGUGAACCUUUACUAUAGCUUUGCACUGGACUUUGAAUAUUUAUGUGUAGGAUAGGUGGGAGACCAUGAAGCAGCUACGCCAGUAGUUGUGGAGUCGUCCUUGAAAUACCACCCUUGAAUAUUUGAAGUUCUAACUCAGGAGAGAUUCGAGGACAGUGUAUGGUGGGUAGUUUGACUGGGGCGGUCUCCUCCUAAAGAGUAACGGAGGAGUACGAAGGUGCACUCGGUACGGUCGGAAAUCGUGCCAAGAGUAUAAAGGCAAAAGUGCGCUUGACUGCGAGAGUGACGGCUCGAGCAGG